rnacentral:tRNA from 1 species
GGUCCUAUAGCUCAGUUGGUUAGAGCAUCUGACUCAUAAUCAGAGGGUCACAGGUUCAAGCCCUGUUGGGACCAC